ensembl:lncRNA
GGGUGAAUUUCGCUACAGUUUGGUAAAAAUAUAAAAUAAAUAAGCCAAAUAUGUCAAAGCAAAAGGGAAUUCACGUUUUGGAGGCAAGCACACCAUCAGUGAAGCACAUAAUGUGUUAACAUUGGAUAAAAUCCAACACGGCUGCCGUCCCGCACACAUUUGAAGCAGAGACGCACUUGGUCCAAUUAAGACAUCACACGUGACUAGCAAGUUGCAGUUCAUUAUUAUAGCGCCCCUCUUCGGCCAAUCAAACUCGGAUAGUGAUGUCUGAGAUAAACAUAACAGGUGUUAAGGAAACACCUGAAAUUAAAUCCCCACAUUUUACUUUUGACAAAAUCAAUAAUAAUUCAAUAUAAAUAAACGGUCAAGCGGGGUUCUCAUCGCAUUGCUCAAAGUUCAAAAUCCAGUAAAUGUGGAGCUAGGUGUUUAGGUGAAGUGUCACCUUGUAAAUAUGCAAAAGCAGAACAUGAAAACCAACCUUUGCCUACCCACCAUUUUCAGUUAAUUCAGUUAAUGAGAGUGUUUGUGAAUGGAUAAUCUACAUGGCAAAAGACACCAUAAGCCCAUAUGUCAAGACAGGACUAGUGGUGUCUGAUAUAUUGAGUGACAAACAUCGUAUGAUGUCUCCCACAUUUUUACUACUCGACAGCGCCCUCAUGGGGCUGAUAGUGUCAUUUUGUUCAUGCCCAAUCUCUAUGGCAAUAUGCUUUAACAAGUUUCCUCAAAAUCCGCUCAGUGGCUAUACUGAGCAUGCAGUAUCCAUACUAGUAUACAAAGGGAAUGAGUCAGAUCAGUAGUCCUUCCAUUUAAUCUUGGAGGACAAUAAACUAGAUUCACUUGCUGAAUAUUCUCUGAAGCAGAACUUUAUUGUCAAGUCACACAGACAACUUGUUGGCCUGCAUUACUAAUAUUGAGGAUUUCGACCCAGGUUCAAUGAUUGGUCAUAGUUCUUUAAGUAACAUAAACAGAAUACCUUGAAAGAAAGGCACCUCAGACCACUGUCAUUUGACCCUCAUUUGUAAACUUAAAAUGAAUGAAAAUGAUGUGGGCUCUCAUCGAUGCAUUUAGUAGCACAACACAAAUAUCGCACUGAUCUUAAUGCCUGAUUAAUGUGUUCCACCUUCAUAUUGGAGCUGAUAUUGAGGCAUACAUUUUUAUACCUGUGCCAAUAUGAUAAGGAGACUUGUACACCAAUUUACACUACAGAUAAGCACCCCUAGUCUGGCGUCUUUUCCUCUUCACAACCUCGGGCUUCUGAAAAGGCCAAAAGGGCAAACAUCGGGAUACUAUAUAUAUAUGGCAUAUAUAUAUAUAUAUAUGGCAUAUAUA